GAUGAACGCUGGCGGCGUGCCUAAUACAUGCAAGUCGAGCGAACAGAUGAGGAGCUUGCUCCUCUGACGUUAGCGGCGGACGGGUGAGUAACACGUGGAUAACCUACCUAUAAGACUGGGAUAACUUCGGGAAACCGGAGCUAAUACCGGAUAAUAUAUUGAACCGCAUGGUUCAAUAGUGAAAGACGGUUUUGCUGUCACUUAUAGAUGGAUCCGCGCCGCAUUAGCUAGUUGGUAAGGUAGCGGCUUACCAAGGCAACGAUGCGUAGCCGACCUGAGAGGGUGAUCGGCCACACUGGAACUGAGACACGGUCCAGACUCCUACGGGAGGCGGCAGUAGGGAAUCUUCCGCAAAGGGCGAAAGCCUGACGGAGCAACGCCGCGUGAGUGAUGAAGGUCUUCGGAUCGUAAAACUCUGUUAUUAGGGAAGAACAAAUGUGUAAGUAACUAUGCACGUCUUGACGGUACCUAAUCAGAAAGCCACGGCUAACUACGUG
rnacentral:rRNA from 1 species